rnacentral:rRNA from 1 species
UACGGGGGGGGUAAGCGUUGUUCGGAAUUACUGGGCGUAAAGGGCUCGUAGGCGGCCAACUAAGUCAGAAGUGAAAUCCCUCAGCUUAACUGGGGAACUGCGUCUGAUACUGGAUGGCUUGGAUUCGGGAGAGGAAUGCGGAAUUCCAGGUGUAGCGGUGAAAUGCGUAGAUAUCUGGAGGAACACCGGUGGCGAAGGCGGCAUUCUGGACCGACAUUGACGCUGAGGAGCGAAAGCCAGGGGAGCAAACGGG